rnacentral:rRNA from 1 species
UUUGGUUAAGUUAGAAAGGGCGCACGGUGGAUGCCUUGACACUAGGAGUCGAUGAAGGACGGGACUAACGCCGAUAUGCUUCGGGGAGCUGUAAGUAAGCUUUGAUCCGAAGAUUUCCGAAUGGGGAAACCCACCAUACGUAAUGGUAUGGUAUCCUUAUCUGAAUACAUAGGGUAAGGAAGACAGACCCAGGGAACUGAAACAUCUAAGUACCUGGAGGAAGAGAAAGCAAAUGCGAUUUCCUGAGUAGCGGCGAGCGAAACGGAACAUAGCCCAAACCAAGAGGCUUGCCUCUUGGGGUUGUAGGACAUUCUAUACGGAGUUACAAAGGAACGAGGUAGACGAAGCGACCUGGAAAGGUCCGUCGUAGAGGGUAACAACCCCGUAGUCGAAACUUCGUUCUCUCUUGAAUGUAUCCUGAGUACGGCGGAACACGUGAAAUUCCGUCGGAAUCUGGGAGGACCAUCUCCCAAGGCUAAAUACUCCCUAGUGAUCGAUAGUGAACCAGUACCGUGAGGGAAAGGUGAAAAGCACCCCGGAAGGGGAGUGAAAGAGAUCCUGAAACCGUGUGCCUACAAAUAGUCAGAGCCCGUUAACGGGUGAUGGCGUGCCUUUUGUAGAAUGAACCGGCGAGUUA